rnacentral:rRNA from 1 species
CGGAUCCGCGGCCGCUGCAGAGUUUGAUCCUGGCUCAGAGCGAACGCUGGCGGCAUGCUUAACACAUGCAAGUCUGACGGGUGGCUUCGGCCAUCAGUGGCGGACGGGUGAGUAACGCGUAGGAACGUGUCCUGAGCGUGGGGGAUAACCCUGGGAAACUGGGGCUAAUACCGCAUGGGCCCUGAGGGGCAAAGCCGAGAGGCGCCUUGGGAGUGGCCUGCGUCCGAUUAGGUAGUUGGUGGGGUAAUUGCCUACCAAGCCUGCGAUCGGUAGCUGGUCUGAGAGGACGACCAGCCACACUGGGACUGAGACACGGCCCAGACUCCUACGGGAGGCAGCAGUGGGGAAUAUUUUAACAAUGGGCGAAAGCUGAUCCAGCAAUUGCGCGUGGAUGAAGAAGGUCUUCGGAUUGUAAAGUCCUUUCGGCGGGGACGAUGAUGACGGUACCCGCAGAAGAAGCCCCGGCUAACUUCGUGCCAGCAGCCGCGGUAAUACGAAGGGGGCUAGCGUUGCUCGGA